rnacentral:rRNA from 1 species
GACGAACGCUGGCGGCGUGCUUAACACAUGCAAGUCGAACGGAAAGGCCCUGCUUUUGUGGGGUGCUCGAGUGGCGAACGGGUGAGUAACACGUGAGUAACCUGCCCUUGACUUUGGGAUAACUUCAGGAAACUGGGGCUAAUACCGGCUAGGAGCUCCUGCUGCAUGGUGGGGGUUGGAAAGUUUCGGCGGUUGGGGAUGGACUCGCGGCGUAUCAGCUUGGUGGUGGGGUAGUGGCUUACCAAGGCUUUGACGUGUAGCCGGCCUGAGAGGGUGACCGGCCACAUUGGGACUGAGAUACGGCCCAGACUCCUACGGGACGCAGCAGUGGGGAAUAUUGCACAAUGGGCGGAAGCCUGAUGCAGCAACGCCGCGUGCGGGAUGACGGCCAUCGGGUUGUAAACCGCUUUCGCCUUUGACGAAGCGUGAGUGACGGUAAUGGGUAAAGAAGCACCGGCUAACUACGUG